CCGGGACCGGCGCACGGGUAAGUAACGCGUAUGACACUUACCUAUCAGGGAGGGGUAACCCGGCGAAAGUCGGACUAAUACCGCAUGAAGCAGGGGCCCCGCAUGGGGAUAUUUGCUAAAGAUUCAUCGCUGAUAGAUAGGCAUGCGUUCCAUUAGGCAGUUGGCGGGGUAACGGCCCACCAAACCGACGAUGGAUAGGGGUUCUGAGAGGAAGGUCCCCCACAUUGGAACUGAGACACGGUCCAA
rnacentral:rRNA from 1 species